GACGAACGCUGGCGGCGUGCUUAACACAUGCAAGUCGAACGGAAAGGCCCUGCUUUUGUGGGGUGCUCGAGUGGCGAACGGGUGAGUAACACGUGAGUAACCUGCCCUUGACUUUGGGAUAACUUCAGGAAACUGGGGCUAAUACCGGAUAGGAGCUCCUGCUGCAUGGUGUGGGUUGGAAAGUUUCGGCGGUUGGGGAUGGACUCGCGGCUUAUCAGCUUGUUGGUGGGGUAGUGGCUUACCAAGGUUUUGACGGGUAGCCGGCCUGAGAGGGUGACCGGCCACAUUGGGACUGAGAUACGGCCCAGACUCCUACGGGAGGCAGCAGGGGGGAAUAUUGCACAAUGGGCGGAAGCCUGAUGCAGCAACGCCGCGUGCGGGAUAACGGCCUUCGGGUUGUAAACCGCUUUCGCCUGUGACGAAGCGUGAGUGACGGUAAUGGGUAAAGAAGCACCGGCUAACUACGUG
rnacentral:rRNA from 1 species